AUAUCCAUUAUGGAAAAUUCAAUGCUAAUAUUACAAUAUAUAUCAUAUUUGUAAGAAUAGUGUGCAAUUUUUCCAUAUAAGGACAUUGUAAUCUGUUAAUGUAAUAAUUAUUUAUCAAAAGAUUCUUUACUUAAGUUUAUUCAAAUUGUUUAUUCUCGGAUAUUCAACAUAAAAUAAAUGUAUUGAAUUGGAUAAAUCAUUGACAGAUAUAAUUAUAUAAUGUGCUUAAAUUCUACGGAAUUUUACAAUGAUAGAUGAAUCUAUUGAUUUGUUUAUUUAUUUGUCUGCACUAUUAUGAUUAACAAUGCGAUAGAUUCAGGAUACCUUCGGGACCCGUCUUGAAACACGGACCAAGGAGUCUAACAUAUGUGCAAGUCAUUGGGUAUUUAUAAUAAAACCCAAUGGCAUAAUUAACUUAACUUUAUUUAUAAUGGGAUUAGUUUAUAAUUUAUUAUGAAUUAUUUAUUCAAUCCCGGGGCGUUCUAUACAGUUAUGUAUAAUGGUUUUAUAUUAUUUAUA
rnacentral:rRNA from 1 species